GACGAACUAUAUUAACCGAAAUACAUUAUAACAAUAAAGUUUAAAUGAAGAUUCUAAAUAACAAUUAGAAAUUAAUAAUUCUCGUAAAGCUAAAAAUUUUGGUGUCAGGAUUUUUUUUUUAUUUUAGUGUUUGCUCCUUAAGAAUCGAUUUUCAUAUAAGGCCCCCGGUAUGAAAAAAUAUGAGCAGUAAAAUGUACUGAACCAAUGAACUCGUUACGUUGUUGUUAACGCCAUCUAUCGAGAUGGCGCUACGACGUUUUCUAAUGACGCCAUCUAGAUCCGAUAGACGGCGUUAUUUGAUUCGUUUAUUUACCAUUUGAUGUGUUAUUAAUAUUUUUCUUAGACUAGUAAGCAUUUUUUGUGCCUACUUAGACAGUCGAUUACAUACUUUUUCAUUAUUCAGUUAUUGGUUAAAAAUGGAAUAUUCAAUUUUAAAUCUCAGUGCUAAUGCACAACCGGUUAGAGUGAGACGUGUGCGAGGCGCGUAAACAAAUAUUUUUUUGUUGUUUACGACUGCAUCGACCGAUUCCCCGUAAUACUGCAUUAUCGCUGCUUUGUAUUAUAUAAACAAUCCGUAAUGAUCCUUAUUGACAAUGGCUAAGGAUACAAUUUUGCAUGAAGACGAUUAUACAAUUCAUUUGACGGAGAACGAUGCUAACGUUAUAUGCAUAGAAAAAACUUACGAUGAACAAACACAUUUGGAGCAAGAUAUGGAAAUGAUUGAUACGAAUAGAAAACGUAUGUUACAUGAGGUGGACGAAAAUACAGAAGAGUGGCAAGAAGUUACUAAACAUGCUAAGAAAAAGGUGAGGGUUUUCGAUAAUAAUUUAGAAGAAAAUCUUAUUCAAAUCGGAAUUACGAGUAAUAAAGUCUUACCUAAACAAUUUGCAUUAGCAAAAAUAUUGCGAGAGAACCAAAUCGUGAAUGUCAGUAAGGUUAAAUACAUAAAUCCUAUUUAAAGAUUUAGGAUGGCGAUGUCAAAAAUCAUGGGAAGUAGGAAUAUCAUAUGGAAUUAUUAAAAAUAUAGACAAAGAACUGUCAGAAGAAGAAUUAAUUCAUAGUUUACUUUGUGAUAUUGAAGCUUUAGCCGUACAACGUUUGAAUCGUCGAGCAGACGAUGGUUGGGUACCUAGUGAAACCAUUAAACUAACGUUUAAAGGGCCGAAUAUACCGAAGUAUGUAUAUCUUCUAGAUCUGAGAAUUAAAGUAGAACAAUAUAUAUUUCCAGUCACUCAGUGUUCUCGUUGCUGGAGGUUUGGACAUACAGCAAAAAUGUGUCCAUCCAACAAAAUAAUUUGCCCUAAGUGUACAAGAAAUCAUCCAAAUUGUGAGAAUAAUAAUUUUAUAUGCAUUAAUUGUAAGGGUAAUCAUAUGCCCUUGGAUAAAAUUUGUCCUAUAUUUAAAAAAGAGAAAAGGAUUCGAGAAAUAAUGACAGAAUUCAACUGUUCAUAUUUGAAAGCUAUUAGUAUGUAUGUCCCCCAGUCCCCAAUUUUGCCAACCACCAACGUAGCUUGCAGUGAAUCAAAACCUACGACAAAGCAUGUUUACGCUCCAACAAGCACAGUACCAGUAAUUUAUCCUGAAAUUGAAUCUGUUGAUCAGGAAAUCCCUCAAACUUCUGGGACACAAAACACAAUGAACAAGAAGAAAAAGAAGAAAAAACGUAUUAAAUGUGCUGAAAAUGUAUAUGCAGACAUAGAAGUAGCCUCUGAUUCUGAUAAUAGUGUUAAAAGUGAUUACUGUAUUAAUAAUGAUAGUGAGGAGAAUGUAACGAAGGAAAAUAUAAAUUUGCACCGUGAAUUGAUUGAUAAACUUAAAAGUGUAAUAUUUGAAAAGAAUAUAAGUAUGUCGACUAAAUUUAAAAAUAUGAUUCAAAUAAUAAUUGAGUGGAUCACUUUGGCUAUUGUAAACAUCUUUUCAGACUUUCCGUUGAUUAAAACCUUUUUUAAUUAUAUACAAAGUAAUGGAUAGUAUUGUUAAAAAAUUAAUUAGCUUGAACAUUAUUCAGUGGAAUUGUAGAAGUCUAAAACCAAAAUUAAAGCUUUUUGAAGACCUGCUAAUUCGAGAAAAGGUUCAUAUUGCUGCUGUAAGUGAAACCUGGUUCGAACCUGAUGCCUUUGUCAAAAUUAAUAACUACAAUAUCUUUAGAAAGGAUAGAAAUAAUUCUUAUGGGGGUGUUGCAAUUUUUACACAUAAAUCUGUCCAAGCUCACAUACAUAAUGUAGAAGUCAGUAAUAGUGAUAUUGAAAUAAUAGGUGUUAAAAUAUUUAAUUGUGCACAAAUUGAAACUAUUUACUCUGUUUAUUGCCCUAGUGACAUUCGGACAACACAGAGAGAUUGGGAAUAUUUGUUUUCUUUAGUUAACAUGAAAUCAAUAUUGAUGGGUGAUUUUAAUGGACACCAUUCAAGCUGGUCUGUUAAAACGGAUACUAGAGGUACGCAAAUUCAUGAUUCAUUACUUGAAACUAGUCUUGUCCUUCUCAAUGACGGUAGCCCUACUCGACUUCAACUAAAUGAAAAUAUUUUACGCAAGUCAUCACCCGACUUAACUUUAAUAACAUCAGAUAUUUCUAUGGAUUUUUCUUGGUUAGUUUCGAAUGAAUCACUGGGCAGUGAUCAUCUUAUUAUUAAAUUAAAUACUACAAUA